AAGAUCAGUUUGGCAUCUUCUUUUAAAAAAUUGUGAACAAAUCUUUCCAUUUAAAGCCCUACCCUAUUCCACCCUUCUAUCCAGAAAUACAAUUCCUAAGCUUUUCUGAGGUUCUAAAAUAGAACUGCCUCUCUCUCUUUCCCCUCUUUCUCCCUUUCUUCCUGCCUACCUCCUUUUCUUUCUCCCUUAUCUUCUCACUCCUUGGCUUAACUUUAAUCAAUCCAGCUUUCAGUUUCCAAAAGUGUUUUGAUAUCAUCAUCUGUUUUUGUCUCCUUUUUCAUUUUUGCUUGUGUAGUACGAUUUAAAAAAUAUAUAAAUAUACUGUCAUUUAAAUGGUGUUUCAGAAAGGAGUAGAGAUAAACACAGGUUUAAUCCACUGUAUUUUAAAAACCUCAUUUUAUGAUAUGACCACCCAUUCAAGAAUAUGUCUCCAUUUAUUUAAGUCAAAUCUACUAAUUAAAUUUAAUGUUUGUCUUCAUAGAGAUUAAAUGCAGCUUUUAUUAAGUUACAUUCUAAAUAAUGCAGUUUUUCCUUGUUAUUUAGAAUGAACUCUCUUUUUCCUUUCUAUUUUCUACCUAGUUAUAACUUGGUGAUAUUACUUUAGUGUACUUAUAUCUGGAAAAUUUAUUAAACUCAUUGGUUCUAUAAUUUCUGCACUGGUUGUUUUAGAUUUCAUAGCAUAUAAUCAUUUUAUUCAAAUAAUAUUUUAUCUCUCUAUGUGUUUUAUUAAUCUAUUAUGUUUCUUUUUCUGUUUUUAUGUAUAAAAAUAUUCAAAAACAUUUAAAAUAAUAUUGGUAAUAAUUAAUAUCCUUAUUUGACCCCUAAUUUGGAAGGAAUACUUUUAGUAGAGUUCUAAUGGAUAUAAUAUGGACUUCUGUUUUGAAAUGUCAUUAUUUUUAGAAUGUAUUUUAAGACAAACUAAAAAACUGAAAAAAAACAUGUCCAAAGUUCACAGAAGCCAACUUUAAAGGGGCUCCAUCUGGACAUAUUUGGGACACUCAUGUCCCCAAUCAAAUAAAUAAUGAUAAAAAUGGGUUAUAACACACUGAUUUAAAAACAGUAAUCCAUAAGUCACAUCGAUACAUAAAUUAGAAAACAGAUGAUGGGAAAGUGCUUUUUUAUAGAAGAAUGCCUGCUAAUAAAUGUAGAAAGUAUAUGAGGAAUGGAAAAUUACUUUUAUUUACAAUAAAUCAAUUCAGGCAAUAGUCACCAGUUGAUGCUAAAAUUGUUGGGUAAAAAAAUAAAAAUAGAAAUAUAAUUAUCUUCUUUAAUAAAAAUAAAAUUAUAUGGAUCAAUUCACAGAUAACUUAUUAAUAAGAAAGAUACUUACAAAAUGGAGAAAUCUGGCAGCUACCAUCUUAACUAUAUGAUUAAAUUUCACAACACCAGUAAAGGACAGUGUCGCAUCACGUGCCUCCUAAUAUGUUGUACUUCAGAAGAGGAAAAGGUGCCUCUUUUGUUAUAUUCCUGACAAUAAUGUGUAACCUAAGUAGAAUCCUCAGACAAAUUUGAAAUGAGAGGAAGAGUCUGAAAAGCAACUGACCUAGACUCUUCCAAAAUGUCAGUGAUGUGGAAAAACUAAACAAAAGUAGGGAAUUUCUCUAACUGAAAAGAGAAUGAUGAUUGUUUGGAUCCUAAUUUUAAAAAGAAAACAAUAAAACAGCAAAACCAACAGAAGGUUAGAGUGCCUUGGAGACAAAUGGCAAAAGAAAUACAGAUUGUAAAUUAUAUGCAGUAUCAGUGUAAAGUUUCCUGAACAUGAUAAUUAUAUCAUCGCAGUUAUGUAGAGUGUCACUGUUUGGUGAUACAUACUGAAGUACAUAUGGAUCAAGUGCCAUGGACUUUUACAAGUAACUCUAAAAUGGUUCAGCAAAAGCAGUGUAUGUAUGCUGGUGGCUGCAGCUCCGAUUUGAUCCCUAACCUGGGAAUCUCCAUUUGCCGAGGGAGCGGCUAAAGAAAUGGCAAAAAGACAAAAAAAAAAAACUAGGAAAACAGAUGUAACUGCAACAUCCAGAGAUAAUCAUUUCAGUGCUUAUCCUUCCAGAUCGUUCUCUUUAGGGACAUCUGUUUUUUAGGUGAGUUCAUAUGGUAUAUGCCCCUUUACUUGAAAUUUUUUUCAUUAACAAUAUAUUGUGGACAUCUUUCCAGAUUAUUUAAUUUUCUUCUAGACUAUUAUUUUAAGUAGCUGUACAAUAUUGUGUAUUUGUUCCAUGACUUAUUCAAAUAGCUUCUGUUACUGAUUUAAUUUUUUUAUUUUACUAGUGUUCUUAUUACAUUGAUGAAAUAAAAUCUUUGGUCACAAUUUCUUUUAAAUAAAAAAUAUAAUAGCUAGAUCAAAGAGGUUGAAAUUUUAAAAUUUUUAUACGUAUUGCUUAACUGCUUUUUUAAAAAGUACUCUAUCUUGAAAUAGCUUAAUAUAAUUUUUAGAGAAAACCAAUAAAGAAAGUGGCUGGUUUAAAUACUGAGAACUCUACAUAAUCUCUUAGCAAUCUAUAACAUUGUUGGUUGAUUUUAUGAAGGUGAGAAUAAAUUAGUUAUUUCCUGCUAUCAUUAGGAAUAACAUUAAAAAUUUCCGGUAUAAAUUGAAAGUGAGAAAGAGCAUAAGACAUUUUACCAAUAUUAUAAAAGCUAUGAGUUUAUAUAGGAAACAAUUUGAUGAAUGUAGUCUUUCCUUCUUUUUUCCCAAAAUAGAGAUGUUUUUAUUAAUAUUCUAAAUAAUAAAAAUAACAUGAGCUCAUGUUGCAAGUCUGUUUUGCAAGUGGCUUUUAUAAAAGUCUUGCUAAAGUCUUCCCAUAUUACUACAUAGAUUUCCCUUACUCUGUAAUUCCCGAAUACUAUAUGGUAUGGUUAUAUCAUAUUUUAGUAAAUAAAUUCCUCAUUGGUAGUUAUUUAGAUUAUUUUUUACUCAGUUACAAAUAAUAAGUAUAUUUUUUGUCUUUUACAGACAUCCAUGUGCUUUAUUUAUUCCAUGAAAUAAAUAUAGCUGUAGCAGUAGAACUGUUAUUGAUAACAAUGUUUGAUAAAAUAUUUGAUAAAAUUGAUAUCAUUGUUAUUGAUAAAAUGAUAAAACUCUGAGUUCUGGAAUUAGAGCUUGAAUACUACCCUCCAUCACGGACAUGCUGUUUAACUUUGGCAAGCUAAUUGAUCUUACCAUUAAAAUGACAUGAAAUCUAAUGGUUGAGGAAUUCUGUAUCCUCUCCUAAUAAUGAAAUUCAUGUAAGGCAAUUACUUUGUACCUGUUGUACUUGGCACAUAGUAAGUGCUAAAAUAACCCUAUUGUUAACAUAAAUUUUUUCUUUAGUGAAUUUUCUGUUCAUUUCUUUUGGACAGUUUCCUUUUAUUUUAUUAAUUAAUUUUUGUAUCAAGAAUAUUUACUAGUGGAGUUCCUGUAGUGGCACAGCAGAAACAAAUCUGACUAGUACCCAUGAGGACACGGGUUUGAUCCCCGGCCUCCCCCAGUGGGUCAGGAAUCCAGCGUUGCCCUGAGCUGUGGUGUACAUUGCUGAUGGGACUUGAAUCCCGAGUUGCUGUGGUGGCGGUGUAGGCCAGCAGCUGUAGCUCUGAUUCGACCCCUAGCCUGGGAACUUCCAUGUGCCACAAAUGCAGCCUUUAAAAGAAAAAAAUCAAUAGUCCCUACUAUAAAUUAAAAAUAUUUUUUCUCAAUUUAUCAUGUCUAUAUUCUAGUUUAGUCAGAUAUGUUAGUCUUUUAUGAUUUCUGGUCUUAGUGUCAUGCUUAGAAAGGAAAUCUCUACUGCAAGAUUUUGUUAAUCCUGUAUUUUCAUCUAGAGAUCUUAGUUUUAUUUUCUAUGUUUAAAUAUUUUCCUCUUUUGUGUGUGGCUAGUACUGCUUCUCCUCCAUUCUCUCCUCUAUUCCCCCAAGGGACAUAUUGGAAAUGUUAGAGUCCUUUUUAAGUUAUCACCACAAUUGAGAAAGCACUACUGGUAUUCACUGGUCAGGAGCCAGGAAUGUCUGCCAGACUCCUUCUGUGCACAGAACUUCUCUCAGUAAAGAAUUUCCGCAUACUCUCAAUCUUACCUUUGCUUUCUGCCAACAACAAACAUCUGAAAACUAAGCAUCUAAGAAUUAAAAAUAAAAAUAACUGGAUUUAAUUCAUUGCUUUGCAGAUUAACUGAGUUUAAAAAUAGUAACACCUGAAUUACAGAGAAAACCUGAAUUUCAUGUACCGGGGGAGUGUUUAGAUUAGUACAACCAUUUUUCGUUGUCUUAUUGUUAAUUGCUCCUUUUCCAUGGUAGUAUAUUCUUGUUUAUUGCCACAAUACCCCUCAAAUAUAACGGAAAACAAAACUAGAAAAUUUCAGUUACCUCUCCUGUUUCUUGCGUUAUUUCUCCUCAUUGAGUACCAUUUGCACAGCUUGUUCACCUUACUCUCCUUUUUGAGCUGCUGAUUUUCUUUUUAUAGCUAGUGAUUUUUAUUUGUAUAGAUAGAUCUUCAUUAGUAGAAUUGAUGUCUCUUUUAGGUUUCUUCAGCAGAUUGGUAAGUCUGGUUGAAGGGAUUCCUCAGCAGAACUUGGCUGGGGAACUGAACUUUUAUGACUUAAUAUGAUCAAUUUGUAAAAUAGAAGUUCAGUCCUUUUCCAUACAUCACAAUGGUCAAAAAGUCAUUCCUUCUUAUUUUAUACUUUUUUUUAUAAUAUAUGUAAGAUAAAGUAGUUUGAGUUCAUAGCCUUCUGAUGGUAAAAGUUUAAGAAUACUACUUAAAAGAGUUGAAAAAGAUAUAGCUUACAAAUAAUUUUCCAUAAACAUCAUUUCUCUUAGUGGGUUUCUUUAAAGGUAAUUACCCACAAGAG
rnacentral:lncRNA from 1 species